rnacentral:rRNA from 1 species
UUCAGCAGCCAUAUCACCCUGCAGCCCAAGACUGGUCACCCACUGAAGCUAAGCAGGGUCGAGCCUGGUCAGAACCCAGAUGGGAGACCUGCUGGGAAAACUAGGUUGCUGCUGGAA